rnacentral:lncRNA from 1 species
CACUGUGCUUCCUGGAGCUGGGGCCCUAUCUCUGUGUCUCUGCCACCAUCCGUAGUGCCUGGGAUGUGAAAGGCGAUCAGGAAACGUUACCGGAAGGCACGUAUAGACGUGGACCUGUGGGCUCGGGCUGGCUGCGGGUCACUGGCGAGAAGCAGCUGUCCAGUGGUGGUUUUCUCUAAGCACGGUCCUUGGUUACUGAGCUCUUUAGCUGUGCAGUUCCACAGCGGGCACACGUGUUCAUGACAGGGCUCUGUGCAUGGGACACGUGUUCAUAACCACAUCCCAUACAUGGGGACGUGGCAGACACACAUGUAACAAGGACAUCAGGCACAGAAGAGACAGCAGGGCUGGGGGUCUGACCCCGAGAGAGAGCAGGUGCAGCUUGGGGGUGUCUGCUGGGCCCCUAGCUGUGGCCACAGUGGUGUGGCUUGGGGUUUGCACGAGUCUCAGCCCCACCUGGCCCCUGGGUGCAUGUGGCUGCAGAGGUGCUUGGUCAAAGAUGCCUGAGCAGGCAGGAGUUGAACUCGGGGGGUUAGGAGGGCCUCUCCCCGCAGGAGUCUGGGCUCUUCCAUGCACUGUGCACGCAGCCUCCAGAGUCGGGGCUGCCGAGGGCCACGCCCCCGGAUGUGUCUGACCACAGGCCCUCUGCUCUGCAACUCAUCUCCAGGAUGGGUGGGCACUUUGGGAAUGCCAGUGAGGACCCUCCCCGUCCCACCCUUUGUUUAGAAGCCCCUGUAUUGCUGUGGGUCUCUGCGUCCCACAAGAGCCCCGGGAAUGC